AACUAAUUAAUUUUGGAGGAGGAUGAUACUUUGAGCUCAAUGGCAAAGACUAUGAAGCUAAAGUUUAGCAAGUAUUGGGGGGAUGGAAGUAAAAUCAAUUUGUUGUUGUAUGUUGCAGUGGUUCUUGAUCCUACCAAAAAAAUGACAUACUUGGAGUUUUGUUUUUCCAAUUUAUUUCUUGGAGAUAAUAGGCAGGUGGAAGAGAUGGUAGACAAGGUUAAGAGUUGUUUGAGUCGUUUGUAUAGUCAUUAUGUCACACUUUAUCCUUCAAAUGAGAAACUUCCAAGUGUGAGUGAAGUUGUGAAUAUGGUGGAAGAUGAUGAUGAUGAUAAUCCCUAUUCUUUAGUUGACUCCCAAUUUAAUUCCUAUUUGGAGGGGCGAUGCACUAGUGGAUCUAAGUCGGAAUUGGAACAAUAUUUAUUCGAGGUUGAACAUUUUGCAAAGAAUCAAACAUUUGAGAUUUUGGAUUAUUAGAAGGUGAAUGCAACCAAAUAUAGGGUGUUAUCACAACUUGCAAGGGAUGUGUUGGCCAUGCCUAUUUCUACCGUUGCAUCUGAGUCGGCUUUUAGUACGGGAGGACGUAUUCUUGACUCAUUUCGUAGUUCACUCUCACCUUCUAUGGUUGAAGCUCUUGUAUGUACUCAAAAUUGGCUUCGAAGCAACCUUCCAAUUUCUCUUCGAAAGGCGAUGGAUGAUGUGGAGGAAUUUGAGCAAUAUGACUCGGGUACUUUGGAGUCAAGCUCAUCUUCAACUUCAACCUAUAAUGUUGAUGCUAUAAUUGAUCUCUAAUAUCCAUUUGAUCAUUGGGUUCAUCAACCAAAUGCAUGGAAUUGGAAUUGGAAUUGGAAUUUGUGAAAGUUGGAUUGGAUGUGAAUGAAGUUUGACAACAAGUGAAUGAAGGAUUGGAAUUGAAAUGUUUUUAUUUUAUUUCAUGGGUUUGUAUUGAUUGAAGUUUAACAACAAUUUUUUUUUUAAUUGCAUUUUGGUUUUAGAUGAAUGUAAGUUAAUGAAUUUUUAUUUUUUUUUUGCAUUUUGGAUGAAUGUAAGUUAAUGAAGAAUUAUUUUCUUUUUUCUUUUUUCUUUUUUUGUAUUUGGGUUAGGAAUGAUGAAUGUAGAAUUUUCAAUGUAGGAUUUUUUUUAUUUGGGUUAUGAAUGAUGAAUGUAGGAUGAAUGUAAGUUAAUGAUGAAUGUAGAUUUUGAGUGAUUUGUUUAGGUUUCGAAUUG